CAGGAGGAGAGCCUGCAGGCCUCCUGGGUAGAAUUGCACCUUCACAAUAAUGGGAAUGGGUGCAGUGUUUAAGCCUCAGUUUUUUAUUUGUAAUGGUGACAUGGAAAUCACUCUGCUGGAUUUCCAGCAUGAGUCCAUAUAGAGAUAGCUCCAAGAGUUCUCACUAUGACAGCCCACCUCAUUAACAGACACCAUGGGAUAGUAAUAGGGCUUCCAAAACAGACACCCAAUGCAUUCAAGAGAAAAACAGCUCACUCUGAAAAUGAUUAUAUUGAGAGGGAAAAAAAAAGAAAAGCAUCUUAAGAAAAAAACUCAGAUUAGAUAUGAUUGAACAAGUCAGCCAGAAAAACUUCCCCUAAAACACAUUUCUCUGUAAAAACCCAAAGUGCACAGCUACCCUCAGUAUGAAAAACAUGAGCAUUAUGAAUAACGGGGGGCAUAUUCUCAGCAGAAUUUUGUAAGUGUGUGUGGUUCCUCUUUCAUCUCUGCUGCUCUCUUAUCUUCUAGCCAUUGAAUGGGAGAUCUAUACUGGAAUAUGCCUGACAAUUUCCACCAAAACAUUU
rnacentral:lncRNA from 1 species